UUUUUUUCUUUUCUUUUUUCUUCUUUUUGCUCUUAUGCUUUAAAUUCCAGCUCUUAUGCUUUAAAUUCUCCAAUAAAGGGUAAGCCCUGCAAACCCUAGACCUCACCUUCAAUUCCAGUAAAAGCAGAAGAUUAGGGCCAUCCCAUACUCACACUAUUUCUACCCCAGUGAUUUUGCUGUGUAUCCCCUGGCAUGUCUUGUGUGCCCCAUGGUCUAUAAGAAAUAAAGUAUUCUGUCUUCUAAGUGGCCUAAUGAUUAUUAAUGAAGGACAUUUUGCAAUCAUUAUAAGAACCAGGGGGUCUGUCCACAGGUCUGGAAAGGGAAAAUAUCUGUGGAAAGCUCAGCAGGACCCAAGUGAGUACCCCCAGGCAUUACUAGCCCAUAACAUUAUUAUUCCUAGGCAGAGACUGGCACAGAACAUAUAUACAUACAUUCAUGAAACCAUUUCCACCAUUAAGAUGAUGUAUAUGAGGGAGUGGCCCAGACGGCAGAAUAAGAAGACCCUGAGCUCACCUCCUCCCAUGAGCACACCAAAAUCACAACUUACAGAAUAGCUAUCAAACAGAACAACGUGAAGACUAGCAGAAAAGAUUUUCCACAACUAAAGAUAUAAAGAAGGAACUACAACAAAUGGAUAAAAGGGGAAGACACUUCAUAUAGUUAAGACCCACCAUCCCAGGCAGGUGGCCCUCAAAUGGGAAAAUAAUCAAAAUUGCAGAGGUUCUCCCCCAAAAUGCCAGAGGCCCAAGCCCAACAUGGGUGUCCAUACCAUGGAGGUCAACACUAGGAGGAGAAGCCCCAGCAUAUUUGGCUUUGAAAGUACAGGAGAACCAGAGGACUGUAGGAAAAUAGAGAUACUUCUUUCAAAGGAUAGACUCAAAGACCCAGCACAGGGGGAGUAACUUGAAAGGAGCCUGGUUCAGACCCAUUUGCUAAUUAUGGAAGGUGUCCAAAGAGGUAACUUGGAGUUCUCCUGGGGAUAGAUGUUGGCAACAGUCAUUUUUGGGGACUUCAUUCUGCCGCAAGAACAAUGGUGCUGGUAAGCAUCAUUUCUGCAUCCUCUUUCUAGCCUUUUAGCACUGGGUACUUACUCACCCAUCAGCCAAUCAGCAUCAGUCCUGGAAAUCCCCAGGCCAAGCAGCCAGACGUGUGGGGACCCUGCCACGACAUGUCUCAGGAUCUUUCAGGUCCCCAAUUAAGCUACUUCAGGCCCUAGUACCACCCACCAGUUUAUCAGGAUGCCCUGGUUCCCCCAGCCAGAAGUACAAGGACACAGUUCAGGUCACCACUGAACUGAAACCAAAACUGGAUCCUCCAGCACCCAUAGCCAAUCAUCCUGGGACCUGGCCUUGCUCACUAGCAGGUCAGCAACAGCCUCAGGCCUCACAAAACCCUUACCCAGGCACCCCAGGACCCAGCUCCAGGGACUCCCCAGGCCACACAGCCAGCUAUAGCUAUGCCAAGAUAUGAUCCAACCCUCCAGCAAGCCAGCAGCAUCUUCAGGAGGCAGUGCCUGGCUGCCAAAUGGGCCAGGGUCCAGCUCCACUUACCAUCAUGCCCACAGUCAUUGGCCCCUGCCAAAACACAAGGAUUCAUUUAGCCCACAUAUGGGAACCCACAGAUCAUAAAGCUCUGGUGGCCAGAGGAGAAUAUUCCUGAGCCCCAUAUGAGAUCUCUCACAUAAGGUCACUUCUCCAAGACUGGGAAAUGUAAUCAACCUGCCUAAUAAAUACAAAUAAACACAGACAAUUAAGGCAAAAUUAGAUGACAAAGGAAUAUGUUAAAAUGAAGGAACAAGAUAAAAUCCCAAAGAAAGAACUAAGCAAAAGGGAGAUGAGCACUGAACAAACAGAUGAAGAUUACAAAGAUGUUCAGUGAAGACAGGAGAAAAUACAUGAACAAACUGAGACAUUUAAUAAUUAGUUAGAAAAUAUAAGGAACCAAAUAGAGAUAAAGAAUACAGUAAGUGAAAUACAAAUUACUCUACAGGGAAGCAACAGUAGAUUAGAUGAUACAGAGGAACCAAUCAGAGGACUGAAAUACAGUAGUGGAAAUCACUGAAGCUGAGUAGAAAAAAAAAAAACAGCUGAUUAAAAAAAAAAAAUGACUGUUCAAGAGACCUCCAGUACAGUAUCAAGCAUGCUAACAUUUGCAUUAUAGGGGUGACAUAAAGAGAAGAAAGAAUAUAUUUGAAGAUGUAAUAGCUGAAAACUUCUCUAACCUGGGAAGAAGACCUGACACACAGGUCCAGAAAGCACAGGGAGUCCCAAAUAGUAUCAGCCAAAAAAUUUCCAACUAAUAAACACUGCAUUGUAAAUGGCAAAAAUUAAGGAAAGAAUCUUAAAAGAAGCAAGGGAACAUCAAUUAGGUAUAUAUGGGUAUUUCCAUAAGACUAUUAUCUUACUUCUCAGCAGAAAUUUUUCAGGUCAGAAGGAAGAGGUAAGAUAUUUUUAAAGUCAUGAUAGGAUAAAACCUGCAACAAAAAAUUCUCUGUCCAGGAGUUCCCAUCAUGGCACAGCAGAAAUGAAUCUGACUGGGAACCAUGAGGUUGCAGGUUCGAUCCCUGGCCUUGCACAGUGGGUUGAAUAACUACUGUUGCUGUGAGCUGUGGUGCAGGUUGCAGACUUGGCUCAGAUUUGAUGUUACUGUGGCUGUGGCUGUGGCGUAGGCCAGCAGCUAUAGCUCUGUUUCGACCCCCAGCCUGGGAAUCUCCAUAUGCUGUGUGUGUGGCCCUAAAAAAAGGCAAAAAAUUAAAUAAAUAAAUAAAAUUUAAAAAUUCUUUAUCCAGUAAAGCUAUCAUUCAGGGUUGAAGGAGAAAAAAAUUUUACAGACAAGCAAAUACUCAAAGAACACCAAAUACUCAAAAAACACCACUGGCUUUUCAAGAAAUGUUAAUGAGACUUCUCUAAGUGGAAGUAAAGGCCACAACAAUAAAUAUAAAAAUUACAAAAGGAAAAAUCUUAUUAGUAAAGAGAAAUCAACAGUAGAGGUUGUAAAUCAACUACUUAUAAAGCUAGUAUAAAAGUUAAAAAACAAAAGUAGUAAAAUCAUCUAUACCCACAGUAAUUAGCUAAGUGAUACAUUAAAAAAAAAAAGAUGUAAAAUAUGACGUCAAAAACAUUAAACAUGGGAAAAUAAAAAUGCAGGGUUGUUAGGAUGCAUUUGAACUUGAGACCAUCAACUUAAAAUAAUAACAUAUAACAUGUGUUUAUUAUAUAUAAACUUUACAUAUACAGGUUACUAUCUAUAAGCAUCACAGUAACCACAAAUGAAAAACCUAUGAUAGAUACACAUAUUAAAAAAGAGAGAGAGAAAGAAAUCCAACACAAGACUGAAGACAGUCAUAAAAUCAUAAUGGAAGAAAAUAAAGGAAGAGGAAAGGAACAACAACAACAGCAAAAGAACUACAAAAACUAUUAACAAAAUGGCAAUAAGCACAUACCUAUCAAUAAUUCCUAUGAUUGAAAUGUGCUAAAUGAUUCAAUCAAAAGACAUAGAGUGGCUAAAUGAAUACUCAAACACUAUUCAUAUGUAUGCUGCCUAUAAUAGAUUCAGUUCAGAUAUUAAAAAAAAACACACACAGACUGAAAGUGAGGGCAUAGAAAAAGUAUUCCAUGUAAAGGAAAUGAAAAGAAAAAUAGAAUAGCUUAUCAGACAAAACAGACUUUAACGCAUUCUCAUCGUGGCUGAGAAGGUUAAGAAUCCAGCUAGCAUCCACGAUGAUGCAGGUUCAAUCUUUGGCCUUGCUCAAUGGAUUAAAAGAGCCAGCACUGCUGACAGCUUCACUGUAGGUCACAGACAGCUUGGCUCUGGCAUUGCUGUGGUUGUGGCAUAGGCUGGCAGCUGCAGCUCUGAUUCAAUCCCUAGCCUCAGAAAUUCCAUAUGCCGUAGGUGUAGCCCUAAAAAGAUAACAACAACAACAAAAAUCAGACUUUAAAAGAAAGACUGUAAGAGUUCCCACUGUGGUGCAGCAGAAAUGAAUCUGACUAUUAUCCAUGAGGCCAUGGGUUUGAUCCCUGGCCUCACUCAUUGUGUUAAGGAUCCUGCAUUGUUGCGCCUGGGAUGUAGGCUGGCAGCUAUAGCCAAUUUGAUCCCUAGUCUGGGAAGUGCACCCCCCCCAAAAAAGGCCAAUAAUAAAUAAAUAAAUAAAAGACUAUAACAAAAGACAAAGACAAAGCACAUUAUAUACUAAUAAAGAGAUUGAUCCGACAAGAAGAUAUAACAAUUAUAACUAUAUAUGCACUCAACAUAGGAGCACCUAAAUACAUAAAGCAAAUAUUAAGAAAUAUUAAGGGAGAAAUUAACAUUAUCAUGAUAAUAGUAGGGAAUUUUAAUACCCCACUUAUACCAAUGGACAGAUCAUCCAGACAUAAAAUCAAUAAGGCAACACUGGGUUAAUAUAUUGACUUAGACUGAUUAAUAGUUAUACAUAGAACAUUCCAUCCAAAAGCAAUAUCCAUCAUCCUUUCUGGCUACGAUGCUAUGAGACCAGAAAUCAAAUACCAGGAAAAAAAAUAAAACUUCAAAAAAUACAAACAUGCGGAGACAAAACAAUAUACUACUAAAUAACAAAUGGUUCACCGAAAAAAAAAAACAAAGAGGAAAUCAAAAAAUACCUGAAGACAAAUGAAAAUGGAAACAAAUGAUUCAAAAUCUAACAGAUGCAGCAAAAUCAGUCCUAAGAGGGAAGUUUAUAGCAAUACAUGCCUAACUCAGGAAAUAAGAAAAAUCUUAACUAAACAACCGUAUACCCAAAGAAACUAGAAAAAUGAGAAUAAACAAAACUCCAAAUUGACAGUAGGAAAGAAAUAAUAAAUGAAAUACAGACUAACAAUAAAUAAAAUACAGACUGAAAAAAAAAAAGAAAACAUCAAUGACAAAUUUCUGGCUUCUUGAAAAGAUAAACAAAAUUGAUAAACUUUUAGCUAGUCUCAAAAAGAAAAGGACCCAUAUAAUUAAAAGCAAAAAUGAAAAAGGAGAAGUAAUAACUGACACCAAACACAAAGGAUCAUAUACAAUCACUAUGGACAAUUAUAUUACAAUAAAAUAGACAACAGAAAAGGAGAAGAUAAAUUCCUAGAAACAUAAAUAUCCCAAGAGUAAAUCAAAAGGAAAUAAAAUAAUGAACAGACCAAUCACUAGCAAUGAAACUGAAUCAGUUAUUUUAAAACCCCCAACAAGGUCCAGGAUGAGAUGUCUUCAAAGGUGAAUUCUACCAAGCAUUUAACAAAAACUUAAUCCCUGUUCUUCUCAAACUAUUCCUGAAAAUUGAAGAGGAAUAUUUCCAAAUUCAUUCUAUGAAGCUAGCAUCACUCUGGCACCAAAACUGGAUAAAGGCACCAAAAAAAAGAAAAUCACAGGCCAAUGCCACUGAUGAACAUAGAAGCAAACAUCCUCAAUAAAAUAUUUGUAAACUAAAUUCAACUACCCAUUAAAGUAUCAUACAAGGAGGAUUUAUCCCAGGGAUCUAAGGUUCAAAAUUAAAAAAAAAA
rnacentral:lncRNA from 1 species